AAUUUUGGGGGGAAACAAAAGUAAAGAACCCUAGACCUCUUCCUUUUGGCAGUGUGGUAGUGGUUGCUUUUCAAAUAAUUUUUCGUGCCGAAAUACAUGCCAAUGAUAUUUUUUUAUUUUUUAAAAAUCAUUUUUGACAUCAGCACAUCAAAACGAUCCAAAAAAUACAAACCACACUCAAUUUUAACAAAAAAAAAAACAAAUUUGAAAUUUGGUGAAAAGCAGGUUGAACAGCAGAGCCAAACAUGCUAGACAGGAGCCGCCGCCUCCCUCUCAAAAAAUCCAGAGAAACCCUCCCUCUCUAAAAAAAAACAGGAGAAACCCUACUUUGGGGUUUUGAACUUUCGGCUUCUUCUCCCUGCAGCCGGACAAGGCUGCCCCCUCGCUUUGCCAAAAACGAGGAGAACCCCACAAAACACACAGACCCCCCCCCCCCAAAAAAAAAAAAAAAACCAUCCCCAGAGAAACCAACCCCCAGCCGGCGACCCCCAGCCUUAACAACAAAGAAAGACACGGCUGGUCCCCCCUCUCCACUGAUCUUCUCCCUCACCAACCUUCCCCUCUCUCGGCCGCUCACUUCCCCUCCGUCAAAAACAGAGACCGGCCGCCCCCCCCCUCUCCUUUGAGGCCAGGAACCAGAGAAACCAGAGAGCUCCGGACAGGCCUCCCUCUCCCUCGACCACAACCUCCAUCCUCCCUCUCUGUAAUCCAGCCCCCACAAACCCACAAGACAGCCCCGGCUCCCUUCCUCAUCGCCGUUUUCUCCAACUCUGACCGACCCCUCUCUCAGCCACCGAGAACGCCGCCUAGCAGCCCGCAGGCCCUCGUCCUCACCAAGACCCGAACCGGCCACCGGCAGCUGUACAGACACGACAGAAGCUCCGCCGCCGGCCGCCCCUUGCACAUACCGUCGGCCACCUGAAACAGAAGGUGAAAAAAAAAGAAAAAAACAGAUCUGCAGAAGAAACAGAUCUGAAACAAGGGAAGACCGAAACAGAUCUAAAGAAGAAGAAUAAAAAUCAACUGCUUUGUUGCGUUUUUGGUUGUUCUUGCAGGUCACUGCCGAGGAAAGGAAGAGGAGGAGAAGUUAAGCCAGAUCCACAUGUUCACAGUUUCUGCUUGCGGUGACGCGUGAACCCACACGCCGCCAGUGGCAUGGUGCGUGGAGAAGACGCUCCGCCACUGUUCCCAUCCCCAGAACCCUUUCAGCACUGUUCCCGAGGUUUUUUUUUAUUUAAUUUUCAGAUGUUGAUAUGUGUUUUUAGAUUAUUUUUAUUUGAUUUAUUUUGAAUUCUUGGUAUUUUGUAAUAUGGAAAUGUGGGUGCACGAGAAAAACAUAAUAAAAAGGAAUUUAUGUGUUUGUAUUUUUUUUAUGUAAGUUAUUGAAUUAUAAAAUCAG
rnacentral:lncRNA from 1 species